AUCACGGAGAGAAAUCAAACUAGUUUGAAGCAACCAAAAUUUUGGUUGACGUUCAAAGUCUGAAUUUGGUUGUUCAGAGCUGCGUCGCCUCAGCCGCACUCUUUGUCAUUCCAUUGUUGUCAUAUCGUGUCUACGGAAUUUCGAUUAACGAGCUGGUCGAGUGUGUGCGGCCAUUUCAGGAUUGCUGUAUCUCCGGAAAACGGCCUCAAAAUCAUCAUCAGCGUACGGAUUGGUGCGCGUUGCGACAAGAAAGAUGCAUGCAACGCAUGAUGACCGAAUAAUCACGG